rnacentral:rRNA from 1 species
AUGCACGCUGACAGAAUGCUUAACCCAUGCCAGUCAACUUGAAUUUGGGUUUUUAACUUAGGUUUGGGUGGCGGACGGGUGAGUAACGCGUAAAGAACUUGCCUCACAGCUAGGGGCAACAUUUGGAAACGAAUGCUAAUACCUAAUAUUAUGAUAAUAGGGCAUCCUAUAAUUAUGAAAGCUAUAAGCGCUGUGAGAGAGCUUUGCGUCCCAUUAGCUAGUUGGAGAGGUAACGGCUCACCAAGGCGAUGAUGGGUAGCCGGCCUGAGAGGGUGAUCGGCCACAAGGGGACUGAGACACGGCCCUUACUCCUACGGGAGGCAGCAGUGGGGAAUAUUGGACAAUGGACCGAGAGUCUGAUCCAGCAAUUCUGUGUGCACGAUGAAGUUUUUCGGAAUGUAAAGUGCUUUCAGUUGGGAAGAAACAAAUGACGGUACCAACAGAAGAAGAGACGGCUAAAUACGUG